UACGUAGGGCGCAAGCGUUGUCCGGAAUUAUUGGGCGUAAAGAGCUCGUAGGCGGCUUGUCACGUCGGGUGUGAAAGCCCGGGGCUUAACCCCGGGUCUGCAUUCGAUACGGGCUAGCUAGAGUGUGGUAGGGGAGAUCGGAAUUCCUGGUGUAGCGGUGAAAUGCGCAGAUAUCAGGAAGAACACCAGUGGCGAAGGCGGUGCUCUGGGCCGGAACUGACGCUGAGGAGCGAAAGCGUGGGGAGCGAACAGG
rnacentral:rRNA from 1 species